UCUAACCUUGUUCCGGCAGCUGUCUCUUUGCUAGGGGUACUUAAAAUUCAGCAAUCCCUUCAGAAAGCAAGGGAUUCUGUCAGGCCGGAAGGCUGUAUAGAGCUUGGUAAUGGGCUUUGAAAGCGGUAAUCGGGGAAACUGAAAAAUCAGGCCGGCUUGCUUUUUGGCCUCAGGAAUAGGAAAUGGCCACUUAUACAAUUUGGAAGCCCAUUUUUUGAGGUUCCUGUUCCUCUCUGCGCCCUUUUCGCCCUUUUCGUGUUCUAACAACGCCUCUCGUCCUUCUGAGGCCUGUCGCUCUACUUUGAAUAAUUCUAGAGUUCAAUUAAAGACGCAAACACUCGAAUGUUUGACCCUAACAAGUAGUCAACGCCCUCAACGUAGAGAGUCGGGCUGGGGCCUGGCGGUGUGAAGCUCUCGCAGCUCUCAGGAGUUAAUUAUUGGGAGUUCCAUGAGGGAACGUCGUUUUCGCUGCAGAGGGGCCCAAACACGCUCCCACUUCUGUCCCUCCGGGCCACAGGCUGCAGCGCAGGGCCUCUAGGGUCAAAGGUUGCGGGCGGCGAAGCCCACAGGGGCUGACUGGGCCGUCGCGUCACUCGCGACCCGUCCCCGCCGGACCCGCCCCUGCCCUGAGGCACCAGUGCCUCCUGCUGCAGAGGUUUCUCUUGCCCUUCUGCCUUCUGCUGUGGGAUGAUGUGACGAGAAAGCCCUUGCAAGAUGCUGGCCCCUCAGUGUUGGACUUCAUAGCCUCCGGAACUGCUGUACAAGAAGCAUGGUGCCAGCAUCUCCUUCUGGUGAGGAUCUCAGGAAACUUUCAUUCAUGGUGGAAGGUGAAGAGGAAGCAGGCAUCACAUGGCAAGAGAGGAAGCAAGAAGAGGAGAGCAAGAGGUGCCAGUCUCCUUGAACAACCAGCUUUCGUGUGAACUAAUAGACUGAGAACUCAUUCAUUACUGUGGGAAAUUCAUGAGGGAUCUGCCUCAUGACCCAGACACUUCCCACUAAGCCCAAUCUCCAACUGUCAGGGUUCCAUUUCAGCAUGGUAUUUGGAGGGGACAAACGUCCAAACUACAUCAGUUAAAUUGGUAAAACUUAAGCCGAAGUCUAGAUUGAUUUACCAGUUUCUGUUGAGGAGUUGAGGAGAUCUUAGCUUCACAAAUUGAUUAUGCUUGAAUCAUUGCCACCAAGAGACCAAGCAAGACUUCUGUUGUACCUCUUGAGCAAAUUCCUGCUAUGAUAAUGCAGUAAAAAUUAGUUACGUUCUAUAAUGUUUACUAUGCAAAUUUCAUUGACUUAAUAUUCCUCUGGCUCAAUGGCUGAAUGGGUCCCCUCUCCCCUUUGAAGCAUCCCUCAGCUUUUCCUGGAGGUUUCUGAAGUGUAACAGUUGCCACCCCCAUCUCUCUGGCUCUUUCCCUCUUGCCCGCUCCCUGGUUUUGAUGUCCGUGACACUGGACACCACCUGAAGGAACAACACAGUGGCCUUCAUUGACAAUCACCACUAUCCACACCCUAGCUGGUUACCAGGGUCCUGAUGCAAGCAGUCUUCUUAAGUAAGGGAAAAGUCUGGCCCAAAGGUAAAUGUAAGUCUCCACCCAUAGAGACCAAAAUCAUUCGCAAAUUUUGAAAAAAAAGCAAACAACAAUUACCCCAAAAAUCUUUAGGGUCCAGAAAUUAGCCAGGACAUAAAAAAUAUGCAUUGUCUUAUUUAAUUGCCACAAAAUCCGAUCAAGACUGUGUUAUUAUUUCCAUUUUUAAAGAUGAGAAAAACUGGCUGA